rnacentral:rRNA from 1 species
GAUGAACGCUGGCGGCGUGCCUAAUACAUGCAAGUCGAGCGAACAGACGAGGAGCUUGCUCCUCUGACGUUAGCGGCGGACGGGUGAGUAACACGUGGAUAACCUACCUAUAAGACUGGGAUAACUUCGGGAAACCGGAGCUAAUACCGGAUAACAUGUUGAACCGCAUGGUUCAACAGUGAAAGACGGUCUUGCUGUCACUUAUAGAUGGAUCCGCGCCGCAUUAGCUAGUUGGUAAGGUAACGGCAUACCAAGGCAACGAUGCGUAGCCGACCUGAGAGGGUGAUCGGCCACACUGGAACUGAGACACGGUCCAGACUCCUACGGGAGGCAGCAGUAGGGAAUCUUCCGCAAUGGGCGAAAGCCUGACGGAGCAACGCCGCGUGAGUGAAGAAGGUCUUCGGAUCGUAAAACUCUGUUAUUAGGGAAGAACAAAUGUGUAAGUAACUAUGCACGUCUUGACGGUACCUAAUCAGAAAGCCACGGCUAACUACGUG